AAUUCUGUGGAUGAAUACCAGCCAGGGAGGAGUGAUUCGGGGGAGCAAAUCACAUUUGAGCAGACAUCUGACCCUUACUGAGUAGAACUGUGGUGUGGGCGAAGGCUGCAGAUGGUGAGCGACAUGAAGUGCGGUCAGUGGCACAAAGCACAAGGUGCCCAGAGCAUGCCGGAGAGGGAAUUCAGUCUGCUGUGGUGGAGUUUCAUCAGUUUUCAUGAGGUGAUGUCACCAGACUGUCUCUUUUAAUUGUUGAGGGCAGCGCUGCAGUACUGAUUCUCAUUAUCUACAGGGAAAUGCUUUCCAAAAGAAAAAAGGUCUCCUGCUCUAUCUUCUCCAGCAGGCUGCACAGAAAAAAACGGUGAGAUGUUCUUACAAAAGGUGACGAGCACAGGAAGGAAACAGAUAUGAAUCACAGCGUGUCCUAGUCUUAACUGUGAGGGCAUUCCACCUCACCUUGGAUAAGGACCAAACAGCUGGGUCCUGCAGUGUGACAGCCAAACACACAGAGAAGAAUGUUAGAGGGGAAACACUAUGAGAGCAGCAUUAUUCUGGAUAUCACUCCACAGGCUCACUAAACA